ACGGGAGGCAGCAGUAGGGAAUAUUGCACAAUGGGGGAAACCCUGAUGCAGCGACGCCGCGUGAGCGAUGAAGUAUUUCGGUAUGUAAAGCUCUAUCAGCAGGGAAGAUAAUGACGGUACCUGACUAAGAAGCCCCGGCUAACUACGUGCCAGCAGCCGCGGUAAUACGUAGGGGGCAAGCGUUAUCCGGAUUUACUGGGUGUAAAGGGAGUGUAGAUGGCAUGGCAAGUCAGAUGUGAAAGCUCGGGGCUCAACCCCGGAACUGCAUUUGAAACUGUAGCCCUUGAGUAUCGGAGAGGCAAGCGGAAUUCCUAGUGUAGCGGUGAAAUGCGUAGAUAUUAGGAGGAACACCAGUGGCGAAGGCGGCUUGCUGGACGACAACUGACGCUGAGGCGCGAAAGCGUGGGGAGCAAACAGGAUUAGAUACCCUGGUA
rnacentral:rRNA from 1 species